rnacentral:lncRNA from 1 species
AAAAUAGAUAUAAAUAAACUUGCAUCAAUUAAUAAAGUCACGUGAAUUGCUAUAAACCAUUGAUUUAAUUACAUAUUGGAUGGUUAAAAUUUGUUCUCUCUCCCUUUUCUCUGUGAAUCUCCGCUGCCGUCAGAACCAUCUCAGCCCUCGUCAAAACUCUCUAUCGUGAAUAUGAUUGAGUCACGAGCACACAAGCUCGAAUGCGGGUAACCCUAACCACGGUGAGCAUCUUUGCCCGAGCCGCUUCACUUGUUGUCACCGUCAAGCUCUGGUCACUGAGAAGCUUCUCGUGCUGCUAUGUACCUGUUUUCCUUCUUCGUCUUAUUUCAUUUUACCACCGACAAUCGCAACUAACAAAUCAACAAGAAAUCAAGAGCAAUAAGACCAAGUCAAAUGAUUUGAGGUUAUCUUUCAUUUUGUUCCUACCAAUGAGCUAAGAAUCCCCAAAUUUCCUGC